rnacentral:rRNA from 1 species
GACGAACGCUGGCGGCGUGCUUAACACAUGCAAGUCGAACGGAAAGGCGCUGCCUUUGUGGGGUGCUCGAGUGGCGAACGGGUGAGUAACACGUGAGUAACCUGCCCUUGACUCUGGGAUAACUUCAGGACACUGGGGCUAAUACCGGAUAGGAGCUCCUGCUGCAUGGUGGGGGUUGGAAAGUUUCGGCUGUUGGGGCUGGACUCGCGGCGUGUCAGCUUGUUGGUGGGGUAGUGGCUUACCAGGGCUUUGACGGGUAGCCGGCCUGAGCGGGUGACCGGCCACGUUGGGACUGAGAUACGGCGCAGACGCCUACGGGAGGCAGCAGUGGGGUAUAUUGCACAAUGGGCGGAAGCCGGAUGCAGCAACGCCGCGUGCGGGAUGACGGCCUUCGGGUUGUGAACCACUUUCGCCUGGUACGAAGCGGGAUUGACGGUAAUGGGUAAAGAAGCACCGGCUAACUACGUG